CCUACGGGAGGCAGCAGUGGGGAAUCUUGCGCAAUGGGGGAAACCCUGACGCAGCCAUGCCGCGUGAAUGAUGAAGGUCUUAGGAUUGUAAAAUUCUUUCAGCGGGGACGAUAAUGACGGUACCCGCAGAAGAAGCCCCGGCUAACUUCGUGCCAGCAGCCGCGGUAAUACGAAGGGGGCUAGCGUUGCUCGGAUUUACUGGGCGUAAAGGGCGCGUAGGCGGGUCAUCAAGUUGGGGGUGAAAGCCCGGGGCUCAACCUCGGAAUUGCCCUCAAAACUGAUGGCCUUGAGUACGGGAGAGGUGUGUGGAACUCCGAGUGUAGAGGUGAAAUUCGUAGAUAUUCGGAAGAACACCAGUGGCGAAGGCGACACACUGGCCCGUUACUGACGCUGAGGCGCGAAAGCGUGGGGAGCAAACAGGAUUAGAUACCCUAGUAGUC
rnacentral:rRNA from 1 species